rnacentral:rRNA from 1 species
UACAGAGGGAGCGAGCGUUAUCCGGAAUGAUUGGGCGUAAAGCGUCUGUAGGUGGUUUAGUAAGUCUACUGUCAAAUACCAAGGCUCAACCUUGGGCAGGCAGUAGAGUACUUUUAGACUAGAGUGUGGUAGAGGUAGAGGGAAUCCCUAGCGUAACAGUGAAAUGUGUAGAUUUUAGGGAGAACACCAGCGGCGAAGGCGCUCUACUGGGCCAAGACUGACACUGAGAGACGAAAGCUAGGGGAGCGAAUAGG